rnacentral:rRNA from 1 species
GUAAUAGCUCACUGGUCAAGUGGUUCUGCGCCGACAAUGUAGCGGGGCUCAAGCGCACCGCCGAAGCCGUGGCAGCAGCGCUUUUCGCCCUCCUCCCCCCUUUUGGACGGGGUGGUGGGUGCGCUGCUGGGUAGGGGAGCGUCCUGCGCGGGGCGAAGCCCGGGGGUGACCCCUGGUGGACCGCGUGGGAGUGAGAAUGCAGGCAUGAGUAACGAAUUCUGCGGUGGGAAUCCGCAGCGCCGAUUGACUAAGGGUUCCAGGGCCAGGUUCAUCCGCCCUGGGUUAGUCGGGUCCUAAGGCGAGGCCGACAGGCGUAGUCGAUGGUCGACCAGUUGAUAUUCUGGUACCGCGCGGCGACCGCCAGUGCCGAUACCGCUGUGCUAACCGCCCGCACCGCCCCUCCUGCGCCUUCGGGCGCGGGGGCGGGGGUGUCGCGGGGCCCCGGUGGUGGAGGCAAGCGUGUUGACAGGGGUGACGCAGGAAGGUAGCCGCAAUGCGCCGGUGGUUGUGCGUAUUCAAGGCUGUGGCCCGUCCCCCAGGCAAAUCCGGGGGGCAUGUGGGUGAGGGCUGAGGAGGGACACACGCGUGUGUGGACUUGUGGUGAUCCUAUGCUGCCGAGAAAAACCCCGACGUGAGGGCGCCGCGCGCCCGUACCCCAAACCGACUCAGGUGGUCAGGUAGAGCAUACCGAGGCGUUCGAGUGAAUCAUGGUUAAGGAACUCGGCAAAAUUCCUCCGUAACUUCGGGAUAAGGAGGACCCCUUGGCCUGCCCCCGCCGCGCGCGGGGGCGGGGCCGGGGGGUCGCAGAGAAUAGGGAGAAGCGACUGUUUAUCAAAAACACAGGUGCGUGCGAAGCCGCAAGGCGAUGUAUACGCACUGACGCCUGCCCGGUGCUGGAAGGUCAAGAGGAGCCCUCAGCCCCCCUGCGGGGGGCGAAGGGGCGAAUUCAAGCCCCAGUAAACGGCGGUGGUAACUAUAACCAUCCUAAGGUAGCGAAAUUCCUUGUCGGGUAAGUUCCGACCUGCACGAAUGGCGUAACGACUUCUCCGCUGUCUCAACCGUGAACUCGGUGAAAUUGCAGUACGAGUAAAGAUGCUCGUUUCGCGCAGAAGGACGGAAAGACCCCGGGACCUUUACUAUAGCUUGGUAUUGGUGUCCGCUUGUGCUUGUGUAGGAUAGGUGGGAGACUGUGAAGCGGCCGCGCCAGCGGUGGUGGAGUCGUCGUUGAAAUACCAUUCUGGUUCAAGCGGGCGCCUGAACCUGGGCCCGUGAUCCGGGCCGGGGACAGUGCCUGGUGGGUAGUUUAACUGGGGCGGUUGCCUCCUAAAAGGUAACGGAGGCGCUCAAAGGUCCCCUCAGCCUGGUUGGCAAUCAGGUGGCGAGUGCAAGUGCACAAGGGGGCUUGACUGUGAGACCGACGGGUCGAGCAGGUGCGAAAGCAGGAACUAGUGAUCC